rnacentral:tRNA from 1 species
AGCGGGAUGGGAUAGCUAGGAGAUUCCGCCGGGCUCAUAACCCGGAGAUCGGUAGUUCGAAUCUACCUCCCGCUACCA